rnacentral:lncRNA from 1 species
ACGGGGUUUAUUUCUUGGGCUUCUCUCUUUCAUUUGCUCGCUUUACGACAUUACAGAUGUUUCUCCCAUCCUCCUCUUUAUGUUGCUCCAGAUCUGGAAAAGCGUGAAAGUUCUUCACCUCAAAACCAGCAAAUCCAUUGCACUUCCUGUCUUCCACUCUGCUCUCCAGGGUCAGGUUGGUGCUCAGAAAAAGAAAAGCGUUGAAAACCAACAGGUGAGAUUUGUAUUACUUAAACAUACAUUUAAAAAGAAAAGAAAAAAUGGUGCCUUACCUCUAUGAGCAAUUGUUAAGGCACCAAUUUUCCUUUUUUUUUUUUUUUAAAGACACUGCAAAGAAAGAAAAAGAAAAGUAAGGCUAAACCGAAGACCACGGAUCAGACGGGCACAAAAAGCGACACGAGUGGAGCUCCCGAAGCCGACGUGCCUAAAACAGACGAGGUGGAACCCCCUGCCCAGAAAUCAAAAGAAGAGGAGGAAGAGAUCCCACAACUGGUUCCUAUUGAAACUCAGCCCUCUGAGAAAAAAGAACAGGUGGCCAAGCUGAGGUUGGGUGCAAAAACACAGCUGGAGACCAGCUCUCCAAAACUCCGUAGCAAAAGGAAGGCCGGUCUGUCGCCAGAGAUUCCUGUUUCGCAGCCAGAAACACCCGGAGAGGCUUCGGCCUUAGAGAAAUCAAACCAACGGAGGUCUGGUCGAAAACCCAAGGUGCCCAAGCAAGAGUUUCUGGAAAAGACACAGAACAGAGAUGCCCAGCAGCCCUUGGCAAAACCAACUGUGGCCCCAAAAAGGCUAAAAACUCCUAAAUCAGACAAGAAGCCUAAAACUCCCAAACGGGAGCUGAGAAAAAUGAAAGUUCCACUGUCCCUAUGAGCAGAGGAGGAAGAAAAUGGGCUCUUUUUAUAUCAAGAUCAAAGGAAGGUUGGCGGAGAAGACGUUUAUUCAACGCUGAUUCACUUGUAAAAACAUCCUGUAUUUUGUUUUUUCAUUGUAAGAAUAAAACAACGUCCUAUUUUACUCUGUUCUCCGAA